AGUGAACGCUGGCGGUAGGCCUAACACAUGCAAGUCGAACGGCAGCACAGUAAGAGCUUGCUCUUACGGGUGGCGAGUGGCGGACGGGUGAGGAAUACAUCGGAAUCUACUUUUUCGUGGGGGAUAACGUAGGGAAACUUACGCUAAUACCGCAUACGACCUACGGGUGAAAGCAGGGGAUCUUCGGACCUUGCGCGAUUGAAUGAGCCGAUGUCGGAUUAGCUAGUUGGCGGGGUAAAGGCCCACCAAGGCGACGAUCCGUAGCUGGUCUGAGAGGAUGAUCAGCCACACUGGAACUGAGACACGGUCCCGACUCCUGCGGGAGGCAGCAGUGGGGAAUAUUGGACAAUGGGCGCAAGCCUGAUCCAGCCAUACCGCGUGGGUGAAGAAGGCCUUCGGGUUGUAAAGCCCUUUUGUUGGGAAAGAAAAGCAGCAGGUUAAUACCCCGCUGUUCUGACGGUACCCAAAGAAUAAGCACCGGCUAACUUCGUG
rnacentral:rRNA from 1 species